UGGGGAAUAUUGCACAAUGGAGGGAACUCUGAUGCAGCAACGCCGCGUGAAGGAAGAAGGUUUUCGGAUCGUAAACUUCUAUCAACAGGGAAGAAAAAAAUGACGGUACCUGAAUAAGAAGCCCCGGCUAACUACGUGCCAGCAGCCGCGGUAAUACGGAGGGUGCGAGCGUUAAUCGGAAUCACUGGGCGUAAAGCGCACGUAGGCGGCGUGGUAAGUCGGGGGUGAAAUCCCACAGCUCAACUGUGGAACUGCCUUCGAUACUGCCAUGCUUGAGUGUCGGAGAGGGUGGCGGAAUUCCGGGUGUAGGAGUGAAAUCCGUAGAUAUUAGGAGGAACACCAGUGGCGAAGGCGGCUUGCUGGACUGUAACUGACGUUGAGGCUCGAAAGCGUGGGGAGCAAACA
rnacentral:rRNA from 1 species